ensembl:lncRNA
AACAGGGGAAGACCCAAUUGUAUCAAUUAUUAACACCAGACACCAAAUUAGGCCCUGGUAAUAAAGCUAGUUAUACUGUAAGCUGCAGAAAUAAGAGCCAGCGUGCACUGUGUUGAACCCAAAAACACCUGCAAACCAACCUGCUGUUUUGGUGCUGGCCAACGGACUCCGUUUUGCCCCUCCACAUCAAUCUCCAGAAAACACGUACAACUUUACUGUUGAGAUUUCAAUCCUUUUUCAUUUAGUUGAACGUCGUCAACGUGCUUACAGAUCAACCUUGAAGGACAUACGGGCAUCCACACGGGCAUGGUCUGACCAAAACUGCCCAUAAAUAAAAUCUGCCAAGACGUGUGCCUUGUUGCAGUCUACAGUCAUGAAAACCCAUUACUUCAACAUGAGAAGCCUGGCAUUUUCCCUUCAGGAUCUGAAGCUCCACCUACAAAGUGUAAAGCUUGAACUUCUUUUAUCUUCUGCUUCCUGAUAGUCCCGGUGAUAUCCAUCCUUAUCCUCUCCCUGCUGAGAGGAAAAUUUGCAGAGCAACAGAUAAUGCAUGGGAUAUACAGUACAGAAAGAAGAAAAGCAGUCUUGCAUUAAGUUACUGCAGGACUUCAUCUGUGCUUGCUGCAACUUCUUCCCUCAAAAUAUCACAGGAUUAUCUUUACCUACUUGCGUAGUUCACAGCUUCUUGCUUCACAUUUAGUUUGGAAGGCUCUUGUAAACAAACCACAUGCAGUGUGCAUUUGUAUUAAGGCAGCAGAGCCAAAGACUUCACUGUUUUAUGCAUCAUACAAACCAUUAAAAGGAGAUGGCCCCUUUUCUGACAAAUAAUUAAAUGGGGAAGUAAAACCAGAGGCCUGGAAGGUUGGCCUUCCUGGCUGUGGAUCACAAAGUAGCUCAUCAGUUAGGCAAGUGCCCUGGCAGUGCCUUUGUCACAAAUUCUUUCUUCUUUCCAAUUAACGCAGACCUCUUGGCCCGACGGCAUGCUCCAAAUAGCUUCUUUUGCUGAGCAGAGCCAGGACUUUGCAGAAGCAAGCAAUUGCAUGAUGCCACUAAUUGCACAGAUUUUCUUACCUUGAAGGUUUUAUACUUCUUGGAUCCUUGCUUUACUUUACACCAAAAUCCUCUCCACAGUAUCACUUUGAUGUUUCUUCUCUGCUCGCAUCCUAGUUUUUAGCACUGUGCCUUCCAACAAAGCGUUAUUGUUAUAGAACUGUGAUGCACACUAACCAGAUGUAGGACAUUUUUUCCAGAAGUUUUGUGAAUCCAUUGUUUCCAGAGCUAGAUAUAAUACAGAUGUCAAAUAGAUUGAUACAGGGUUUUCUAGCAUAUCUGUAUGCCACCCCCCUCUUGCUCCCCAGCUCCUGAGGUUAUGGUUUUCAAUGUCCUUUAGCUCUUUGAAGCAAUCUAUUAAUGUCCAGGGGCAAAGAAGGGUAUGGGAGAGUCCAAGCAGCACAGAGUUCCUGUGUUCAGAUUCAGAUCAGAGAUACCCGGCCCUCUCAGGGCCCUCCCAGGGGUUUUUGGUACCUGAAAGCUUACAGGGCAGCUCGGCAGAAUUGUCUCAGGAGUGCAGUUUUAGACUGUAGGGUCUUAAUCCCAUUUCAAGCAGUUAAAUGAUUUGAAUAUAGAUAUUAAUAUCACAGAAGAUAAACAAGAUAAGAAGGCUGCUAAAUAAAUAAUUGGGUGCAGAUUCAAGAAGAGAAGGACUUCACUUUUUCUUGCUUCUAUAGCAGUGUAG